AAGUCUGCCCGUGCACUGCCAUGCUUCCCACCUUGCCAGUGAUGGACUAACCUCCGAAAUGUGAGGAACUACAUUUGUCUCCACACAUCAGGGCUUCAGGAAAAGCCUUGGAUUGCCCUGGUUCCCCACACAUGCCUAUGAGGGUCAAGCUGUCAAGGUCAUCUUGGCGACAUCUUGAAGUCAACCAAGGAUACACAGAUUGAUCAAAAAUUUUUUCUAAAGCAAUAAAUAAAGUGGAUUAAACCACUUUGUACCUAUAAAAAACCAAAGAAAUGAGAGAAUGUUAAUGCUUGCAAGAAUAAAAAGAUUGAAGACUUGG
rnacentral:lncRNA from 1 species